rnacentral:rRNA from 1 species
UGAGGAAUAUUGGUCAAUGGGCGUAAGCCUGAACCAGCCAAGUCGCGUGAGGGAUGAAGGGUCUAUGGAUCGUAAACCGCGUUUAUAAGGGAAUAAAGUGCGGGACGUGGCCCGUUUUGUAUGUACCUUAUGAAUAAGGUUCGGCUAACGCCGUGCCAGCAGCCGCGGUAAUACGGAGGAUCCGAGCGUUAUCCGGAUUUAUUGGGUUUAAAGGGUGCGUAGGCGGCCUUUUAAGUCAGCGGUGAAAGUCUGUGGCUCAACCAUAGAAUUGCCGUUGAAACUGGGGGGCUUGAGUAUGUUUGAGGCAGGCGGAAUGCGUGGUGUAGCGGUGAAAUGCAUAGAUAUCACGCAGAACCCCGAUUGCGAAGGCAGCCUGCCAAGCCAUGACUGACGCUGAUGCACGAAAGCGUGGGGAUCAAACAGG